AAGGCUAAAUACUCCUGACUGACCGAUAGUGAACCAGUACCGUGAGGGAAAGGCGAAAAGAACCCCGGCGAGGGGAGUGAAAAAGAACCUGAAACCGUGUACGUACAAGCAGUGGGAGCCCCACCACCAAAGCAUUCUCUGGUGUUGAAGGCCCUGCAAAGCAGCAUCGCGGUGGCGGAGCGUCGUUUGCGACGCCCAACACACAAAACAAGCGGUGAGUGCUUUGGGGUGGGGUGACUGCGUACCUUUUGUAUAAUGGGUCAGCGACUUAUAUUCUGUAGCAAGGUUAACCG
rnacentral:rRNA from 2 species